ensembl:snoRNA
UCUGCUCCCAGAGGCGUUGCAGGUGUGACUGAUGUAUCACAUGCGCUUCAGUAAGUGACAGAGAGGAGAGAGGCUAUGUCUACACCCAGUGCUCUGACCUGUGACUACCUGAAUGAUUAGCAGCCUGACAUU